GUUUGUGGCAUUGCCUAUGUGACAGAUGGCCAUACACCACUCUGCAGGGGGCUGUGGGCGGUAGUAGUUGUGAUAGGAGCCAGGGGCCCAGGAGGCAUGGCCAAAUUCCUACCAUCCCAUGAAGGCAGAAGUCACUGACCACCAGAUCUCUCGGAACCAGGCUGUCUGUGCACAGUUCAGUGCCCCACAUCACACGAGGUGAAGUUGCCCACAUGAUCAUUCUGUUUAAGGAUUCUUCCCAACUAUGAAACUACAGAUACCUGAAUUUAUCUUAGCAUCCCUACAAUCAUCAACUUUUCAUUGUAAGGCUCUGCUAUGAAGAGAAAAGGAUUUGCUAUUCUAUCAGUCAUUCAUUUUGGAUGAUUUUGGAUGAUUGAUUAUGGGAAUGCUGCUUUUACUGUACAUCCAAGGUGCACUUGUUGGAAUGAACUAAAAUGGUAAAAACUGCAAUUAUAGAAUAAAGCCCACUUCACUGGAGGUGGACCAUGCAGUGGGGUUGCUGCUUUAUACUAGUUUCCCUCUAACUGGGACACUCAAUUAUGAGAAGCACAUAGCACCGUGGACGGCGGACUGAAGACUUGCUCCCUGGAGAGAACCUCCGGAUUCUAAACACAGCUUGAUUUCCCAUGAAGAAAAGAAGCUGCUCAGCAGGGAAGUGAAAACUCUGCACAACAGGUCCCUGCUAUGAUGAUGAUCAGUGUGCCGAGCCUUUUAGGCAGGCAAUUGUUUUUUUUUAUCAUUAUUCUGCUCUGAGGCACUUUUAUAAUUUCAGAUUUCCAAAUGAUACAAGCACAAACUUACAGACAUCAUACUCAAGUCCACAAGAUCUAGAGGCUGUGCAGCUCAGACUUGAAACUAUGCCAUCUCAAUCCACAGCUCCCUAUCUCUGGCAAACCUUCACUGAAGUGCUUAAUGCCUAUGGCCAAAAGUCGGACGCUCAUGAAAAAAGCAGAACACUUUUGGAGAGUUCAUGCGAUUACUUUGAAGGUGACAUGACAAUCACUGGCUUGGACUAUGAAAUUGAGAACCCCACCUUGAGCUGUAAAAUCUUUGGGUGCCAAAAAGGAUUUCAUGAAUAGAUCCACUGAAGCCAAGGAUUCUCCACAAAUGAAGAAAAUCUUUUAUCGGUUUUAAGCUGCUCCUAUUUCAGGCUAAUGUUACUCACAGUUCAAUCUAAUCCUAAAUAAUAUAACCACUGUCCUGAAGGAACAGUGGCAGAAAAGUGCAUAUCAGGUAUCCAUCACAUAAAUCUACUUCUAUUAGGGAAUGAAGUCAAAUUUUCUAGGUGCCCACUGUUGGAAGGAGCUUUGGAAAUACAAGCUGAAUCAAUGCACCCCGGUGUUAAGGAUGAAGAGUGAGUUCAUGCUUGCAUCUCCUUUAUAGGUUUAAAAAAAUAAAGAAGAAGAAGAAGAAAAGAAAGAAAGAAAGAAAGAGAGAAAGAAAGGAAGGAAGGAAGGAAGAAAGGAAGAAAGAAAGAAAGAAAGAAAGAAAGAAAGAAAGAAAGAAAGAAAGAAAGAAAGAAAGGAAGAAAGAAAGGAAGAAAGAAAGGAAGAAAGGUAGUUCAACAGCUUGAACCACAAGACAGAAUGAAUUAAAAAUCCAAUGCCUCCAAAGAAAGCCUACCUCAUAAAUUGCACUCAAGGCAUUUUGGAAGCCUCUGGAUCUAAGGCGGUUUAUAAGGACCUUCUGUCAAGUGGACCACCCUGCAUGCACACACAUGUCUACGAACAGUCUGUGAAGCAUUGCUGAUGAGAUGUGUUUGGUGCAUGCCAGGCCCUUCUGCAAAGAAGGCUUUAAACUCCCAGAGUCCAAGAAUCUCUCCAGUUCCUGAUGACCAAGAAUGCCUGAACAGGGAAGACGAGUAAAAUCCCAGCAGCAAAGGAAAAAGAUGAUCAUGGUAACGUGACGAUUUCCAUUGCUGAUUCCCACCAAGCCGCUUGCCUGCCUCUGAGUCGCUCAGCAGCCAGCCUCCCUCUUUGGGUAAAGUUCUCAAAGAAAAAGUAAAACAGAAAGAGACAUGAUUUGUGUUGAGUUCUAAACCACAAUAUAUAAAGAGGAACCUCCAAACAAAAUGAAGUGGGAAGGAUGAGUAAACAAGGACACUAAGAACGACACCUGUCUUUAGAGAUCUCAAGCCAGAGUGAGAUGUGAACCGCUGUGUUUUGUUUCCUACGGGACAAGAAACAUGUGUAAACUUGCUGCACGAACCACUCAGAAUCUGACUUGACUCUGCAAUGCCAGGCAACUGGGGUGACUGACAACGGAAUGUCCUCUAUGAAAAACCAGAUGCCUAUUGUGACCAGAUGGUGAAAAUAAGAUUUGUGAAGUAGAAAAGGAGCAACAACCUUGCCAUGGAUAUCUGAAGGAAGCACCUGCUACAAAGAUGGGGCAGUCAGAAUUUGUAAAGACAACAGGAGUUUUAUGUGGUAAUAGCAAGAGAUGGGAUUAACCUAUCAAGUGAUCUCUGAUUUUACAGUGCAUGCAGUACAUAUCUUCCUUCUAAUACUAGAUAUUGCUACAUUUUAAAUUUAUGUCCUUUGAUUUUUUUUAAACUGGGGCUUUUAGUCAGGAAUAGAAAGAAGAGUUUUCUCAUUUAUGUUCCAAGGAGCAAUAGUAUGCUGUGUACACUGAUGUGUAUUGAAGUGCUACCAAUUCAAAGUACUCUGUAACCAACAAAGUUUGGAAAUACUUUGUCAAAUUAAUAAAAAUCUAUUUAUUAUG
rnacentral:lncRNA from 1 species